GCAGCAUGAUUUGUAGCAAUAUAGAUUGAUGGCGACCGGCGCACGGGUGAGUAACGCGUAUGCAACUUACCUAUCAGAGGGGGAUAGCCCGGCGAAAGUCGGAUUAAUACCCCAUAAAACAGGGGUCCCGCAUGGGAAUAUUUGUUAAAGAUUCAUCGCUGAUAGAUAGGCAUGCGUUCCAUUAGGCAGUUGGCGGGGUAACGGCCCACCAAACCGACGAUGGAUAGGGGUUCUGAGAGGAAGGUCCCCCACAUUGGUACUGAGACACGGACCAAACUCCUACGGGAGGCAGCAGUGAGGAAUAUUGGUCAAUGGCCGAGAGGCUGAACCAGCCAAGUCGCGUGAAGGAAGAAGGAUCUAUGGUUUGUAAACUUCUUUUAUAGGGGAAUAAAGUGGAGGACGUGUCCUUUUUUGUAUGUACCCUAUGAAUAAGCAUCGGCUAACUCCGUGCCAGCAGCCGCGGUAAUACGGAGGAUGCGAGCGUUAUCCGGAUUUAUUGGGUUUAAAGGGUGCGUAGGUGGUGAUUUAAGUCAGCGGUGAAAGUUUGUGGCUCAACCAUAAAAUUGCCGUUGAAACUGGGUUACUUGAGUGUGUUUGAGGUAGGCGGAAUGCGUGGUGUAGCGGUGAAAUGCAUAGAUAUCACGCAGAACUCCGAUUGCGAAGGCAGCUUACUAAACCAUAACUGACACUGAAGCACGAA
rnacentral:rRNA from 1 species